rnacentral:rRNA from 1 species
CUCAUACUAUACAUGCAGUCGAGCGAACGGACGAGAAGCUUGCUUCUCUGAUGUUAGCGGCGGACGGGUGAGUAACACGUGGAUAACCUACCUAUAAGACUGGGAUAACUUCGGGAAACCGGAGCUAAUACCGGAUAAUAUUUUGAACCGCAUGGUUCAAAAGUGAAAGACGGUCUUGCUGUCACUUAUAGAUGGAUCCGCGCUGCAUUAGCUAGUUGGUAAGGUAACGGCUUACCAAGGCAACGAUGCAUAGCCGACCUGAGAGGGUGAUCGGCCACACUGGAACUGAGACACGGUCCAGACUCCUACGGGAGGCAGCAGUAGGGAAUCUUCCGCAAUGGGCGAAAGCCUGACGGAGCAACGCCGCGUGAGUGAUGAAGGUCUUCGGAUCGUAAAACUCUGUUAUUAGGGAAGAACAUAUGUGUAAGUAACUGUGCACAUCUUGACGGUACCUAAUCAGAAAGCCACGGCUAACUACGUGCCAGCAGCCGCGGUAAUACGUAGGUGGCAAGCGUUAUCCGGAAUUAUUGGGCGUAAAGCGCGCGUAGGCGGUUUUUUAAGUCUGAUGUGAAAGCCCACGGCUCAACCGUGGAGGGUCAUUGGAAACUGGAAAACUUGAGUGCAGAAGAGGAAAGUGGAAUUCCAUGUGUAGCGGUGAAAUGCGCAGAGAUAUGGAGGAACACCAGUGGCGAAGGCGACUUUCUGGUCUGUAACUGACGCUGAUGUGCGAAAGCGUGGGGAUCAAACAGGAUUAGAUACCCUGGUAGUCCACGCCGUAAACGAUGAGUGCUAAGUGUUAGGGGGUUUCCGCCCCUUAGUGCUGCAGCUAACGCAUUAAGCACUCCGCCUGGGGAGUACGACCGCAAGGUUGAAACUCAAAGGAAUUGACGGGGACCCGCACAAGCGGUGGAGCAUGUGGUUUAAUUCGAAGCAACGCGAAGAACCUUACCAAAUCUUGACAUCCUUUGACAACUCUAGAGAUAGAGCUUUCCCCUUCGGGGGACAAAGUGACAGGUGGUGCAUGGUUGUCGUCAGCUCGUGUCGUGAGAUGUUGGGUUAAGUCCCGCAACGAGCGCAACCCUUAAGCUUAGUUGCCAUCAUUAAGUUGGGCACUCUAAGUUGACUGCCGGUGACAAACCGGAGGAAGGUGGGGAUGACGUCAAAUCAUCAUG